AGUGAACGCUGGCGGUAGGCCUAACACAUGCAAGUCGAACGGCAGCACAGUAAGAGCUGGCGCUUACGGGUGGCGAGUGGCGUACGGGUGAGGAAUACAUCGAGAUCUACUUUUUCGCGGGGCAUAACGUAGGGAAACAUCCCCUAAUACCUCAUACGACCAACGGGUGACCGCACGGGAUCGUCUGGCCUUGCGCGUUUGAAUGAGCCGAUGUCGGAUUAGCUAGUUGGCGGGGUAAAGGCCCACCAAGCCGACGAUCCGUAGCUGGUCUGAGAGGAUGAUCAGCCACACUGGAACUGAGACACGGUCCAGACUCCUACGGGAGGCAGCAGUGGGGAAUAUUGGACAAUGGGCGCAAGCCUGAUCCAGCCAUGCCGCGUGGGUGAAGAAGGCCUUCGGGUUGUAAAGCCCUUUUGUUCGGAAAGAAAAGCAGCAGGCUAAUACCCCGCUGUUAUGACGGUACCGAAAGAAUAAGCACCGGCUAACUUCGUG
rnacentral:rRNA from 1 species